GUUGUAGUCGACUAUUCUGCUUACGUUCAAGGAAACGAAGAGUCAUUUAGCGUGGUCAUAUACCUCCACUUAUUAUAAAUGACUUUUCGUUUCUUUCACUGUAAGCAGAUUACUCGACUGCAAC